GCCCUUCUUGGUCAUUUAGAGGAAGUAAAAGUCGUAACAAGGUUUCCGUAGGUGAACCUGCGGAAGGAUCAUUACAGAAAGUAAACGCGGAUCAAACCGCGAACUUUUAAACCUUUGACGAUUGACUCAUGUUGCCUCGGCGGGUUCUCCCGCCAGAGGAUACAUCAAAACUCCUGUUUUAACGGUGUUGUCUGAGCUACAAGCAACGAAUCAAAACUUUCAACAACGGAUCUCUUGGUUCUGGCAUCGAUGAAGAACGCAGCGAAAUGCGAUAAGUAGUGUGAAUUGCAGAAUUCAGUGAAUCAUCGAAUCUUUGAACGCACAUUGCGCCCCUUGGUAUCCCGAGGGGCAUGCCUGUUCGAGCGUCAUUUCACCACUCAAGCCUGGCUUGGUGUUGGGCGACGUCCCCUUCAGGGACGCGCCUCGAAACGCUCGGCGGCGUGGCACCGGCUUUAAGCGUAGCAGAAUCUUUCGCUUUGAAAGUCGGGGCCCCGUCUGCCGGAAGACCUACUCGCAAGGUUGACCUCGGAUCAGGCAGGGAUACCCGCUGAACUUAAGCAUAUCAAUAAGCGGAGGAAAAGAAACCAACAGGGAUUGCCUCAGUAACGGCGAGUGAAGCGGCAACAGCUCAAAUUUGAAAUCUGGCUCUUUUAGGGUCCGAGUUGUAAUUUGUAGAGGAUGCUUCGGCGUCGGCUCCGGUCUAAGUUCCUUGGAACGC
rnacentral:rRNA from 1 species